ensembl:lncRNA
CUGAGAAUUAGGUAGACUAGACAUUGCUGUCGCUCACGGUGAAAGAAUUUUGUCAAUACGACUUUUACUUUUCAUUUGGGAACGAUUUGUUUGGGCCUGACUUUUCUGUUCAUUUUAAGCAGCAAAAGUGAGGUGCAUGUCUGUGUACGUGUGUAUGGAGCCCUUGGGUGCAGUCACUAUAGCAACCAGGCUCACACCUGCCUGCUUAACGAGCUCUGCCUGCCACUGUACCAAGAUUCAUCUUAAACACUUCUCUUUCAACUGCUGCUGUGUCCACAGUGUUACAGCCAUCAUUUUACCCUCAAAUUGUCGCCAUUAUUGUUCUCUUUCCAACACCGUAUCUUUCAAAGCUCAGGCAUUUAAACUUUUUAAACUGUGUGGAUCAAAGUGGAGGGAUCACAUUUGAGUCAUUCAGUGAUUCAAAGAAUAUGACCUUUUAAUAUUCUUUCAGAUGUUUUCUGACUCUAAAUGUUCUUUUCUCAUUUCUUAGGGUUUUCUAAUUUACAUUUAAAACAUUUUCAGUUUUUUUCCAACUCCUUCUUCUGUGUAACCUUCAGCUUUUAGCAGUUCAGCACCUUUUUUUUCAGGUUAAAUUCGUUUUUUUUUGUUUUUUUUUAAUCUCAUUCAAGAUUUUUAACUCAAAAUUCAGCAAUUAAUUCAUUUCAGUGCAUACAUUCAGAUUCAAGCAUUCACACUGCAGUUUCUUCAGAAAAUGCACUUUCUAGUUAGAAAUGCUGUUUGUGUAGAAUGAUGGCCUUUCUUUACUGAUUACUGUCACAGUCCUGGGUCAUUUUGACCCAGCAUUUUCAGUUCUUACAUUCCUUUAUAUUAUGGUUUGGUAUUCUGAUCCUUUUGUUAUGCUUUGUUUAUUAGUAUUAUUCUAUGUUCUUUGUGAGGGGUUAGUUCUUGGGUUGUGUCCCGUGUUUAGUAUAAGUUCAGUUCAGUGUCAAGUCUGUGUCUGUUUCUUGUUUCCCGUUUUAUUGUGAAAGGUUGUGCCUCAUGUCAGUGUGUCUAGCUUUGCUUCCCGUGUCUCGUUAGCCCAAACCCUCUCAGCUGUGUCUCCCUCCUGUUUCUCAUUCCUUGAUGACUCCCUCAGUGUAUUUAAG